rnacentral:rRNA from 1 species
AUUGAACGCUGGCGGCAUGCCUUACACAUGCAAGUCGAACGGCAGCAUAGGAGCUUGCUCCUGAUGGCGAGUGGCGAACGGGUGAGUAAUAUAUCGGAACGUGCCCUAGAGUGGGGGAUAACUAGUCGAAAGACUAGCUAAUACCGCAUACGAUCUACGGAUGCAAGUGGGGGAUCGCAAGACCUCCUGCCGCUGGAGCGGCCGAUAGCUGAUUAGCUAGUUGGUGGGGUAAAAGCUCACCAAGGCGACGAUCAGUAGCUGGUCUGAGAGGACGACCAGCCACACUGGGACUGAGACACGGCCCAGACUCCUACGGGAGGCAGCAGUGGGGAAUUUUGGACAAUGGGGGCAACCCUGAUCCAGCAAUGCCGCGUGAGUGAAGAAGGCUUUCGGGUUGUAAAGCUCUUUUGUCAGGGAAGAAACGGUUCUGGAUAAUACCUGGGACUAAUGACGGUACCUGAAGAAUAAGCACCGGCUAACUACGUGCCAGCCGCCGCAGUAA